rnacentral:rRNA from 1 species
AUUGAACGCUGGCGGCAUGCUUUACACAUGCAAGUCGAACGGUAACAGGUCUUCGGAUGCUGACGAGUGGCGAACGGGUGAGUAAUGUAUCGGAACGUGCCCAGUAGUGGGGGAUAACUACUCGAAAGAGUGGCUAAUACCGCAUGAGAACUGAGGUUGAAAGCGGGGACCUUCGGGCCUCGCGCUACUGGAGCGGCCGAUAUCAGAUUAGGUAGUUGGUGGGGUAAAGGCCUACCAAGCCGACGAUCUGUAGCUGGUCUGAGAGGACGACCAGCCACACUGGGACUGAGACACGGCCCAGACUCCUACGGGAGGCAGCAGUGGGGAAUUUUGGACAAUGGACGCAAGUCUGAUCCAGCAAUGCCGCGUGCAGGACGAAGGCCUUCGGGUUGUAAACUGCUUUUGUACAGAACGAAAAGGCUCUGGUUAAUACCUGGGGCGUCAUGACGGUACUGUAAGAAUAAGCACCGGCUAACUACGUGCCACGCAGCCGAC